rnacentral:rRNA from 1 species
CAGCAGCCACGGGAAUACGUAGGGUGCAAGCGUUAAUCGGAAUUACUGGGCGUAAAGCGUGCGCAGGCGGUUUUGUAAGACAGAGGUGAAAUCCCCGGGCUCAACCUGGGAACUGCCUUUGUGACUGCAAGGCUAGAGUACGGCAGAGGGGGAUGGAAUUCCGCGUGUAGCAGUGAAAUGCGUAGAUAUGCGGAGGAACACCGAUGGCGAAGGCGAUCCCCUGGGCCUGUACUGACGCUCAUGCACGAAAGCGUGGGGAGCAAACAGGAUUAGAUACCCCCGUAGUCCCUGUCUCUUAUAU